UCCGGCUUAACGCCGGCAGUCCCCCUAGAGUGCUCGGCUCUACCCGGGAGCAACUAAGGGCGAGGGUUGCGCUCGUUGCGGGACUUAACCCAACAUCUCACGACACGAGCUGACGACAGCCAUGCACCACCUGUGACGGUCCAGCCGAACUGACCCCGUGUUUCCAUGGGUAUGACCGACAUGUCAAACCCAGGUAAGGUUCUUCGCGUUGCGUCGAAUUAAACCACAUGCUCCGCUGCUUGUGCGGGUCCCCGUCAAUUCCUUUGAGUUUUAGCCUUGCGGCCGUACUCCCCAGGCGGGGCACUUAAUGCGUUAGCUACGGCACGGGAGGAGUCGACACCUCCCACACCUAGUGCCCAUCGUUUACGGCGUGGACUAC
rnacentral:misc_RNA from 1 species